AGCAGUGUGGCUCAGUGGAAAGAGCCUGGGCUUCGGAGUCAGAGAUCAUGGGUUUGAAUCCCGCCUCUGCCA
rnacentral:tRNA from 1 species